UGGGGAAUAUUGGACAAUGGGGGGAACCCUGAUCCAGCCAUGCCGCGUGUGUGAAGAAGGUCUUCGGAUUGUAAAGCACUUUAAGUUGGGAGGAAGGGCAGUAAGCGAAUACCUUGCUGUUUUGACGUUACCGACAGAAUAAGCACCGGCUAACUCUGUGCCAGCAGCCGCGGUAAUACAGAGGGUGCAAGCGUUAAUCGGAAUUACUGGGCGUAAAGCGCGCGUAGGUGGUUCGUUAAGUUGAAUGUGAAAGCCCCGGGCUCAACCUGGGAACUGCAUCCAAAACUGGCGAGCUAGAGUAGGGCAGAGGGUGGUGGAAUUUCCUGUGUAGCGGAGAAAUGCGUAGAUAUAGGAAGGAACACCAGUGGCGAAGGCGACCACCUGGGCUCAUACUGACACUGAGGUGCGAAAGCGUGGGGAGCAAACAGG
rnacentral:rRNA from 1 species